GGGGAAACUCUUAGAAUCCCCGUGAACAGGGGUGUGAAUAGCGGCGUCUUUGGCCGGGCGAAGCGGUUCGUGAAUC
ncrna:unclassified sequences L13-Bacteroidia ribosomal protein leader